rnacentral:rRNA from 1 species
GACGAACGCUGGCGGCGUGCUUAACACAUGCAAGUCGAACGGAAAGGCCCUGCUUUUGUGGGGUGCUCGAGUGGCGAACGGGUGAGUAACACGUGAGUAACCUGCCCUUGACUUUGGGAUAACUUCAGGAAACUGGGGCUAAUACCGGAUAGGAGCUCCUGCUGCAUGGUUGGGGUUGGAAAGUUUCGGCGGUUUGGGAUGGACUCGCGGCUUAUCAGCUUGUUGGUGGGGUAGUGGCUUACCAAGGCUUUGACGGGUAGCCGGCCUGAGAGGGUGACCGGCCACAUUGGGACUGAGAUACGGCCCAGACUCCUACGGGAGGCAGCAGUGGGGAAUAUUGCACAAUGGGCGGAAGCCUGAUGCAGCAACGCCGCGUGCGGGAUGACGGCCUUCGGGUUGUAAACCGCUUUCGCCUGUAACGAAGCGUGAGUGACGGUAAUGGGUAAAGAAGCACCGGCUAACUACGUG